GACGAACGCUGGCGGCGUGCCUAAUACAUGCAAGUCGAGCGGACGAAUCGAAAGCUUGCUUUUGAUUCGUUAGCGGCGGACGGGUGAGUAACACGUGGGCAACCUGCCCUGUAGACGGGGAUAACACCGAGAAAUCGGUGCUAAUACCGGAUAACACGAAAUGUCGCAUGACGUUUCGUUGAAAGACGGCGCAAGCUGUCGCUACAGGAUGGGCCCGCGGCGCAUUAGCUAGUUGGUGAGGUAGCGGCUCACCAAGGCGACGAUGCGUAGCCGACCUGAGAGGGUGAUCGGCCACACUGGGACUGAGACACGGCCCAGACUCCUACGGGAGGCAGCAGUAGGGAAUCUUCCGCAAUGGACGAAAGUCUGACGGAGCAACGCCGCGUGAGCGAAGAAGGCCUUCGGGUCGUAAAGCUCUGUUGUUAGGGAAGAACAAGUAACGCAGUAACUGGCGUUACCGUGACGGUACCUAACGAGAAAGCCACGGCUAACUACGUG
rnacentral:rRNA from 1 species